GCACAAGCGGUGGAGCAUGUGGUUUAAUUCGAUGCAACGCGAAGAACCUUACCUGGGCUUGACAUCCCGAGAAUCCCCUGGAAACAGGGGAGUGCCCUUCGGGGAGCUCGGAGACAGGUGCUGCAUGGCUGUCGUCAGCUCGUGUCGUGAGAUGUUGGGUUAAGUCCCGCAACGAGCGCAACCCUUGUCUUUAAUUGCCAUCAUUGAGUUGGGCACUUUAAGGAGACUGCCGGUGUUAAACCGGAGGAAGGUGGGGAUGACGUCAAGUCCUCAUGGCCUUUAUGCCCAGGGCUACACACGUGCUACAAUGGGUGGUACAAAGAGAGGCAAGCUCGCGAGAGUAAGCAAAUCUCAAAAAGCCAUCCUCAGUUCGGAUUGGAGUCUGCAACUCGACCCCAUGAAGUCGGAAUCGCUAGUAAUCGCGGAUCAGCAUGCCACGGUGAAUACGUUCCCGGGCCUU
rnacentral:rRNA from 1 species